rnacentral:tRNA from 1 species
ACCCGGGUGCUGGAAUUGGUAGACAGGCAUGGUUGAGGGCCAUGUGUCCUCAGGACGUGUGGGUUCAAGUCCCAUCCCGGGUACAA